rnacentral:rRNA from 1 species
UACGUAGGGGGCAAGCGUUACUCGGAAUCACUAGGCGUAAAGCGCAGGUAGGAGGUUUGGUAAGUCUGUUGUGAAAGCUCCCGGCUUAACUGGGAGAGGUCAACGGAAACUGCCAGGCUUGAGUGUGGUAGAGGUAGCUGGAAUUCCCGGUGUAGCGGUGAAAUGCGUAGAUAUCUGGAGGAACACCGGUGGCGAAGGCGGCAUCCUGGACCAACAUUGACGCUGAGGAGCGAAAGCUAGGGGAGCAAACGGG